CGCACUGCUUGUUCCCAGUUGUUGUAACAAGUUUGGAACAAGCUGUUAAUAACUUGUGACAAGGCAUUAUCAGACUUGUUAUACAAUUUAUGUUGUUUUAACAAGUCUGAUAUAGUCAUGAUAAACCGUGAAGAAUGUCACAAGGUUGACGACACAAGGUUGUUGGAACAACCUCGUAACACGCCUGAUAAUAUCAACAAAGGUUGUUACAAAUUAUUAACAGCUUCUUCCGAACUUGUUGACAACUUGUGACAAGCAGUGCG
rnacentral:miRNA from 1 species